AACCAGUUGCAUAAAUUACGCCUGUCGCCUUUUAGUCAGCUCAUUCUGCUGAGCCACUUGAAAACUCGCUCGACUCUACUGGCGAGGAAUUUUUCUCUUGGGCGUUUCUCAGUUAAAUGGAUUAUACUUAACGUAUCGGUGGCACUUGUCCGUGGGAUUUAGAAGAAUUUACUGUUUUCGUGAUAAGCCGCUUAAAAUCUGACAGAAUUUUCAUCGAGCAAAUAGAGUUUACAGAAUCAGAGGGGAGCAUUUUGUCAAUAGUUUAUAUUCGAGGCUACAAUUGAAAUUCCAAAUCUGAGCCAACAGAUGAGGCGCACAAGGUUCCCUUAAUUUUCGUGUGUUAUUCGAGCACGUUUCUCUAGAGAAGGUUUUGUUCGUGUCUUCUGGGGAAGCUGACUCAACGCGAUCGUAUCAGCAGUUCAUUGAGACGUUGCGAAACACAUUUCGAUGUUUUGAUACUCGAUGAUACGAUUUUUCAAACACUAUUAAGCAGAGUUAUGACUGCUUAAAUUUAGAAUGAUAACAGCUUAAAUGGUCAAACAAGAAUCUUGAUUGCGUCGAUAAAUAUAUAAGUGGAUCAAUUAUAAACAUGAAAUUUGCAGAAGAGAUAUUUGUUACACCAACGAAUGGUUUGAAUGUGAAAUAAUUGAACAGUUUAAAAUUGAAAAUUGUUUGUCAUAAUGUUAUAGAAGAUUUCCUAGAUGAAUUUAAGUAAUUUUAUAUUUGAAAUUUGAAGAAAAAUCUGUUUUUAUAAUAAAUGAAAAGAAAACAUAAGUAGAAAUCUGAAAUAUUAUUUUCAAUGCGAAAUACAUGAAAGUAUACAUGUGACCUGUACACAGAUAAGCCUAAUACUUAAUCUUACAUUAUUAUCUACCAUAAGACAUUAAAAAUCCAAAUUCUCCCCUUCUCUAAAAAUUCUAAAUUGAAAAUGUUACACAUCUAAAACUCCAACGUUGCUUAAAUAAAAAAUAAAAAACUCAAACGUUCGAGAUACCACAUAUAUUUAAUACAUUUAAUUUUCUUAUUCUCCAAAAAUUCUAAAUUCCAAGUUUGAAAAUCUUAAAAUGUCUUAAAAGAAUAAUAAUUCUAACAUUCGGCUUACUACAAAUAUUUACAUUUAGGCACAAACAAGUUUAAAUGACCGAUCGUCGAUUCUGGGGACGCAGUGUUCCGCUUUCUACGCCGUUUCCUCCUUUCGCUAAUUUCUCGAAACGGUUUCAGACCCGCGGAUUCGAUCAUCGAUACGUUGUCGUCGAGCAGUCUCACGUUAUUUUAAUUCCGUGUAACCCGAGACAGUCGGUGGUCUUGCUGUAUUAAUAAUGAUGAUUUAGCGGCGUAUCGCACGCGUCGCAACGAAAACGACUUCGUUGGUUCGUUAAGCAACGCGUUCGACCGUUUGAAGUAGAAUUUUCGUUCGUUCCGAAUUCGCAACCUGGCAACUUCGAAUUUGAGUGACGUUUAAGAGCUGCGGCGCCGACGCGGCAGACUGUAAGUCAAUGUCGUGCGAAAUGAAGAAAUGGUGCCGAGAAAGAUUACCGUCCGUUGACACGUAGAUAAAAGGAAACACGUUGACUUUUAAGAUACGAUAAAUAACUAACAAGUGAAUUCAUAAUUGCGGCGUCGGUCUUUGAAACGUCAGCACAUGACUUUUGAAAUGAAUGAUAAAUGGAUUGUUUUUAUUAUUAUUGGAAUUCUUGUUAUUUUUAUAUGUAGUGAAAAUUUAAUUGUAUUAUUUUAACUUCGAAUUGAAACAUUGAAUCUUUGAAAUGUUGACAUGUGACUUUUCAAAUGAAUGAUAAAUAUAUUGCUCUUAUUAUAAUCGAUAUUCUUAUC